AGUGAACGCUGGCGGUAGGCCUAACACAUGCAAGUCGAACGGCAGCACAGUAAGAGCUUGCUCUUACGGGUGGCGAGUGGCGGACGGGUGAGGAAUACAUCGGAAUCUACUUUUUCGUGGGGGAUAACGUAGGGAAACUUACGCUAAUACCGCAUACGACCUACGGGUGAAAGCAGGGGAUCUUCGGACCUUGCGCGAUUGAAUGAGCCGAUGUCGGAUUAGCUAGUUGGCGGGGUAAAGGCCCACCAAGGCGACGAUCCGUAGCUGGUCUGAGAGGAUGAUCGGCCACACUGGAAGUGAGACACGGUCCAGACUCCUACGGGAGGCAGCAGUGGGGAAUAUUGGACAGUGGGCGCAAGCCUGAUCCAGCCAUACCGCGUGGGUGAAGAAGGCCUUCGGGUUGUAAAGCCCUUUUGUUGGGAAAGAAAAGCAGCAGGUUAAUACCCCGCUGUUCUGACGGUACCCAAAGAAUAAGCACCGGCUAACUUCGUG
rnacentral:rRNA from 1 species